CCUACGGGGGGCAGCAGUGAGGAAUAUUGGUCAAUGGACGAGAGUCUGAACCAGCCAAGUAGCGUGAAGGAUGACUGCCCUAUGGGUUGUAAACUUCUUUUAUAUGGGAAUAAAAUGUUCCACGUGUGGGAUUUUGUAUGUACCAUAUGAAUAAGGAUCGGCUAACUCCGUGCCAGCAGCCGCGGUAAUACGGAGGAUCCGAGCGUUAUCCGGAUUUAUUGGGUUUAAAGGGAGCGUAGGUGGAUUGUUAAGUCAGUUGUGAAAGUUUGCGGCUCAACCGUAAAAUUGCAGUUGAAACUGGCAGUCUUGAGUACAGUAGAGGUGGGCGGAAGUCGUGGUGUAGCGGUGAAAUGCUUAGAUAUCACGAAGAACUCCGAUUGCGAAGGCAGUUCACUGGACUGCAACUGACACUGAGGCUCGAAAGUGUGGGUAUCAAACAGGAGUAGAUACCCUAGUAGUC
rnacentral:rRNA from 1 species